GACGAACGCUGGCGGCGUGCUUAACACAUGCAAGUCGAACGGAAAGGCCCUGCUUUUGUGGGGUGCUCGAGUGGCGAACGGGUGAGUAACACGUGAGUAACCUGCCCUUGACUUUGGGAUAACUUCAGGAAACUGGGGCUAAUACCGGAUAGGAGCUCCUGCUGCAUGGUGGGGGUUGGAAAUUUUCGGCGGUUGGGGAUGGACUCGCGGCUUAUCAGCUUGUUGGUGGGGUAGUGGCUUACCAAGGCUUUGACGGGUAGCCGGCCUGAGAGGGUGACCGGCCAAAUUGGGACUGAGAUACGGCCCAGACUCCUACGGGAGGCAGCGGUGGGGAAUAUUGCACAAUGGGCGGAAGCCUGAUGCAGCAACGCCGCGUGCGGGAUGCCGGCCUUCGGGUUGUAAACCGCUUUCGCCUGUGACGAAGCGUGAGUGACGGUAAUGGGUAAAGAAGCACCGGCUAACUACGUG
rnacentral:rRNA from 1 species